GUGGGGAAUCUUAGACAAUGGGCGCAAGCCUGAUCUAGCCAUGCCGCGUGAGCGAUGAAGGCCUUAGGGUUGUAAAGCUCUUUCGUGGGGGAAGAUAAUGACUGUACCCCAAGAAGAAGCCCCGGCUAACUCCGUGCCAGCAGCCGCGGUAAUACGGAGGGGGCUAGCGUUGUUCGGAAUUACUGGGCGUAAAGCGCACGUAGGCGGACUGGAAAGUCAGGGGUGAAAUCCCGGGGCUCAACCCCGGAACUGCCUUUGAAACUCCCAGUCUUGAGGUCGAGAGAGGUGAGUGGAAUUCCGAGUGUAGAGGUGAAAUUCGUAGAUAUUCGGAGGAACACCAGUGGCGAAGGCGGCUCACUGGCUCGAUACUGACGCUGAGGUGCGAAAGCGUGGGGAGCAAACAGGAUUAGAUACCCGGGUAGUCC
rnacentral:rRNA from 1 species